rnacentral:RNase_P_RNA from 1 species
GUCAGCCGGUGGGCGGGUGCCGGAUCCCUACGGCAACGGGGGAUCCGAGGAAGCUCCGCCAGAGCUGCGGGCCCGCGCCGCCGCAAGGCGGUGGGGGGAAGCCCCAGGCAACGGCGCAGAAACGCACCCCCCUCUCGGCGAUGAGCAUGAUGCGGUAAACCUCCGGUAACGGAGGCUUUCCCGCUGAGGAGUUUGGAGGGGAGGGUGAAACGGCCGUCCCGCGGGUCAGGGCCAAGCAGGGCCUGUGAGGUCCCGCAGCGAGGUCCGGGUAGGCCCCCAGACGAACCCCGCCUAGAAACAGAAGGCGGGCUACUACCGGCUGAC